GGGUUGUGAGGUUAAGCGACUAAGCGUACACGGUGGAUGCCCUGGCAGUCAGAGGCGAUGAAGGACGUGCUAAUCUGCGAUAAGCGUCGGUAAGGUGAUAUGAACCGUUAUAACCGGCGAUUUCCGAAUGGGGAAACCCAGUGUGUUUCGACACACUAUCAUUAACUGAAUCCAUAGGUUAAUGAGGCGAACCGGGGGAACUGAAACAUCUAAGUACCCCGAGGAAAAGAAAUCAACCGAGAUUCCCCCAGUAGCGGCGAGCGAACGGGGAGCAGCCCAGAGCCUGAAUCAGURUGUGUGUUAGUGGAAGCGUCUGGAAAGGCGCGCGAUACAGGGUGACAGCCCCGUACACAAAAAUGCACAURYUGUGAGCUCGAUGAGUAGGGCGGGACACGUGGUAUCCUGUCUGAAUAUGGGGGGACCAUCCUCCAAGGCUAAAUACUCCUGACUGACCGAUAGUGAACCAGUACCGUGAGGGAAAGGCGAAAAGAACCCCGGCGAGGGGAGUGAAAAAGAACCUGAAACCGUGUACGUACAAGCAGUGGGAGCACGCUUAGGCGUGUGACUGCGUACCUUUUGUAUAAUGGGUCAGCGACUUAUAUUCUGUAGCAAGGUUAACCGAAUAGGGGAGCCGAAGGGAAACCGAGUCUUAACUGGGCGUUAAGUUGCAGGGUAUAGACCCGAAACCCGGUGAUCUAGCCAUGGGCAGGUUGAAGGUUGGGUAACACUAACUGGAGGACCGAACCGACUAAUGUUGAAAAAUUAGCGGAUGACUUGUGGCUGGGGGUGAAAGGCCAAUCAAACCGGGAGAUAGCUGGUUCUCCCCGAAAGCUAUUUAGGUAGCGCCUCGUGAAUUCAUCUCCGGGGGUAGAGCACUGUUUCGGCAAGGGGGUCAUCCCGACUUACCAACCCGAUGCAAACUGCGAAUACCGGAGAAUGUUAUCACGGGAGACACACGGCGGGUGCUAACGUCCGUCGUGAAGAGGGAAACAACCCAGACCGCCAGCUAAGGUCCCAAAGUCAUGGUUAAGUGGGAAACGAUGUGGGAAGGCCCAGACAGCCAGGAUGUUGGCUUAGAAGCAGCCAUCAUUUAAAGAAAGCGUAAUAGCUCACUGGUCGAGUCGGCCUGCGCGGAAGAUGUAACGGGGCUAAACCAUGCACCGAAGCUGCGGCAGCGACRCUGAUGYGUUGUUGGGUAGGGGAGCGUUCUGUAAGCCUGYGAAGGUGUGCUGUGAGGCAUGCUGGAGGUAUCAGAAGUGCGAAUGCUGACAUAAGUAACGAUAAAGCGGGUGAAAAGCCCGCUCGCCGGAAGACCAAGGGUUCCUGUCCAACGUUAAUCGGGGCAGGGUGAGUCGACCCCUAAGGCGAGGCCGAAAGGCGUAGUCGAUGGGAAACAGGUUAAUAUUCCUGUACUUGGUGUUACUGCGAAGGGGGGACGGAGAAGGCUAUGUUGGCCGGGCGACGGUUGUCCCGGUUUAAGCGUGUAGGCUGGUUUUCCAGGCAAAUCCGGAAAAUCAAGGCUGAGGCGUGAUGACGAGGCACUACGGUGCUGAAGCAACAAAUGCCCUGCUUCCAGGAAAAGCCUCUAAGCAUCAGGUAACAUCAAAUCGUACCCCAAACCGACACAGGUGGUCAGGUAGAGAAUACCAAGGCGCUUGAGAGAACUCGGGUGAAGGAACUAGGCAAAAUGGUGCCGUAACUUCGGGAGAAGGCACGCUGAUAUGUAGGUGARGUCCCUCGCGGAUGGAGCUGAAAUCAGUCGAAGAUACCAGCUGGCUGCAACUGUUUAUUAAAAACACAGCACUGUGCAAACACGAAAGUGGACGUAUACGGUGUGACGCCUGCCCGGUGCCGGAAGGUUAAUUGAUGGGGUUAGCCGCAAGGCGAAGCUCUUGAUCGAAGCCCCGGUAAACGGCGGCCGUAACUAUAACGGUCCUAAGGUAGCGAAAUUCCUUGUCGGGUAAGUUCCGACCUGCACGAAUGGCGUAAUGAUGGCCAGGCUGUCUCCACCCGAGACUCAGUGAAAUUGAACUCGCUGUGAAGAUGCAGUGUACCCGCGGCAAGACGGAAAGACCCCGUGAACCUUUACUAUAGCUUGACACUGAACAUUGAGCCUUGAUGUGUAGGAUAGGUGGGAGGCUUWGAAGUGUGGACGCCAGUCUGCAUGGAGCCGACCUUGAAAUACCACCCUUUAAUGUUUGAUGUUCUAACGUUGACCCGUAAUCCGGGUUGCGGACAGUGUCUGGUGGGUAGUUUGACUGGGGCGGUCUCCUCCUAAAGAGUAACGGAGGAGCACGAAGGUUGGCUAAUCCUGGUCGGACAUCAGGAGGUUAGUGCAAUGGCAUAAGCCAGCUUGACUGCGAGCGUGACGGCGCGAGCAGGUGCGAAAGCAGGUCAUAGUGAUCCGGUGGUUCUGAAUGGAAGGGCCAUCGCUCAACGGAUAAAAGGUACUCCGGGGAUAACAGGCUGAUACCGCCCAAGAGUUCAUAUCGACGGCGGUGUUUGGCACCUCGAUGUCGGCUCAUCACAUCCUGGGGCUGAAGUAGGUCCCAAGGGUAUGGCUGUUCGCCAUUUAAAGUGGUACGCGAGCUGGGUUUAGAACGUCGUGAGACAGUUCGGUCCCUAUCUGCCGUGGGCGCUGGAGAACUGAGGGGGGCUGCUCCUAGUACGAGAGGACCGGAGUGGACGCAUCACUGGUGUUCGGGUUGUCAUGCCAAUGGCACUGCCCGGUAGCUAAAUGCGGAAGAGAUAAGUGCUGAAAGCAUCUAAGCACGAAACUUGCCCCGAGAUGAGUUCUCCCUGACYCCUUGAGRGUCCUGAAGGAACGUUGAAGACGACGACGUUGAUAGGCCGGGUGUGUAAGCGCAGCGAUGCGUUGAGCUAACCGGUACUAAUGAACCGUGAGGCUUAACCUUACAACGCCGAAGSUGUU
rnacentral:rRNA from 1 species